UUCCUCGCCUCGCAUCCAGGCUCACCAAAGACAGACCCGCCGCGGUUCGGGCAGGGGUAGCCGGAUGUGCCCGGAGACACUGGCUCCAGACAGAGGAGCUCCUUGCACUGCUGUGCUGAGAGGGAAGGAGCCCAGUGCUCUGCGUGGGGGGGCCUGGAGCCCAUCCUGAGAGAGAGCCCCCUGCUCCAUGCGGGGUACUACAAGAAGUUCUCCAUUCCUGACCUGGACCGGUACCAGCUGCCCCUGGAAGCUGCUGCGCUGAGUUUCACCCACGCCAACAACACCCUGAUCAUCACGAAGCCGAAGGAGAUCCUGGCUGCGGAGCAGGAGCUGCAGAAGGAGCUGAAGAAGAUCAAAGCGGUGGACGACGGGGAUGGGGACGGGGAGUGCAAGACCCAGUAGGCACCCGCGGGCACCCCCCAGCCCUGCUGUUCA